rnacentral:snRNA from 1 species
CUGCUCCCUUUGGCAGCACAUAUACUCAAAACUGGAAUGUGACAGCAUGGCCCCUGCACAAGGAUGCCACGCAAAUUCAUGAAGUGUUCCUACUUUUA